CUUCAUCAAUAGUUAAAGAUUAUAACCGUUACGACAGACACAAAAAGUUGACUCGUCAAAAACGAACGACUACAAUACUAAAAGAAGACCAGGAAGGAAGAGAUGUGCUGGUCUACCUCUUAUGAUGGAAACCUUCAUUGAUAGAAAUUUACGUUGGAUUGGCCAUGUACCCAGGAUGGACAACAGCCGAUUCAUGCAAAAGAAUUUUGUCCAUUGAAAUUUGUUAACCCCACCUCCAUAAAUACUGUCGUACGUUCAAAUUAGUCUUAACCCGUAUCGAUCAUAUAGGUAUUGGAGAGCCUGAGGUCAUUGCUGGGAUUAAUCUACAGUGAUUUUUAAAAUGUAUGUAAAAGAUAAAUUUUUGAAUAGAAUACUUUCUGCUAGUAAAAGUUUUUUCUUACACACACACACUUGCUUGGUGCGAUCGUGGGGAAGAAUAUAAAGUAAAAAAAGUUUUUUUGUUUUGUUUGCUUAAAUCCCAAUAAUGCUUCGGUACAUCUUCAUUUAAUUAAAUGUGUUUAUGGGGAAAAAUAUUGAAAAAUAUCAAUAUAUAUCAGAAUGACAAAGAAACGAAGAAGGUAUCAGGUGGUCGUGGGAUGUGCUAAAAGCAACAACUAAACCUUACUUCAGUCAAACAUCUCGAGUGAAAAUUAUUUUGUAAUUAUAAACAGAAACAAAUGGCAAUUCGGACACUCUGUAUCUAAAAGCUAUGAUUAAAAAGAAAGAAUUAGUGAAAGAGUUUUUUUCCUAAAUUAAAAUUUUGUAUAAUCGUAUAAUUCCCGUGUGCAGAACACACAGUCGCAAAAAUUUUCGGAAAAUUCCAAAAAAUUGUAAGGAGUUAUGCAUGAAUUUUUCCAACCAAUGAAUGAAUAAAUCAAUCGUUGUGAUUGUUA
rnacentral:lncRNA from 1 species